GAUGAACGCUGGCGGCGUGCCUAAUACAUGCAAGUCGAGCGAACAGACGAGGAGCUUGCUCCUCUGACGUUAGCGGCGGACGGGUGAGUAACACGUGGAUAACCUACCUAUAAGACUGGGAUAACUUCGGGAAACCGGAGCUAAUACCGGAUAAUAUAUUGAACCGCAUGGUUCAAUAGUGAAAGACGGUUUUGCUGUCACUUAUAGAUGGAUCCGCGCCGCAUUAGCUAGUUGGUAAGGUAACGGCUUACCAAGGCAACGAUGCGUAGCCGACCUGAGAGGGUGAUCGGCCACACUGGAACUGAGACACGGUACAGACUCCUACGGGAGGCAGCAGUAGGGAAUCUUCCGAAAUGGGCGAAAGCCUGACGGAGCAACGCCGCGUGAGUGAUGAAGGUCUUCGGAUCGUAAAACUCUGUCAUUAGGGAAGAACAAAUGUGUAAGUAACUAUGCACGUCUUGACGGUACCUAAUCAGAAAGCCACGGCUAACUACGUG
rnacentral:rRNA from 1 species